rnacentral:rRNA from 1 species
CACGCCGUAAACUAUGAUCACUCGCUGUUGGCGAUACACGGUCAGCGGCUAAGCAAAAGCAUUAAGUGAUCCACCUGGGGAGUACGGCCGCAAGGCUGAAACUCAAAGGAAUUGACGGGG